rnacentral:lncRNA from 10 species
CUGCUGUGCAUGUGCUUACACUGAAUAGGAGUGAAGUUUUGCAUCUUCUAAAAUGCAUUAAAGAGUGAUCAAAAUUACAGCCCUCUCUGAAUGAGACUCUCCUUUAACACAACUUACAUUCGAAUCAUCUGAAAGGAAUGUGGAGAUCAGAGAAAAAUGAUGGGAAAGUUACCACAGCCUGCAAAUGAGAAAUGAUGAGAGCCUGCCUGGGUUUUGCCAGGACGAUUAAAUAUCAUUGAUGCUUCUGGUCUACAAUUAGUCAGAGAAGAGAUUAAAAAAAUGAUGAGUAUUCAAGAAGGAAAGUGUUUGCUUUAACAUAUGAAGAAAAGGAGCUUCAGAGUGGUGAUUAACCCCAGAAUUGUGUGGAACGGAUAUGGAAACAAGACCACAGGAGCAUCGAGAACUGAGCAGAACUGAAGGUGACAUGAAAAUCAGCUGCAAGAUUCACCUCAGGGUGAUAAUGGGCUGCAGGUGGCUGCAGGAAUCCCGGGACAUUCUAGGCACUGCCAUAUUUUCUUAGGGGCCAGUAAGGAUGGCUAUCAUCAGAUGUACCUGAUGAUACAAACAUGGGCUGUCUUGCCUUCUAGUAUUCAUUCUUGAUGAUUGCAUCCAGAGCUCACUUUGGAGGUGCAGAUCAACUCUUCUUCAGGCUCAUCCAUGCGACUUGAGUGGGCUCUCAUCCCCAUUCCCAGGGGCUUAUGACAAUCAAGGUUUCCACUCCUCCAUGGUCUCAAUGGUUUUUCUCCCCAUGGGAAGCACAUAAUCCCAUUAGAGGCCACGGGAAGCUUUUUUGUUGGGCUUUGAGGGAAAAAAGGCUUUUGCAGCCAAUGAAUCGAUCAAUGUGUACUUCAACCUGGAUUGUAUGUAUGCAUCUCCUAGAUUGGGCGGAUGAUGAAGUGAGGCUGGAAGUGCUGAGCAUCUUCCUACCUGGGAUGACUGGGCUGAGCAGGAAGCCUACCCCGGGGUUCCAGCCAAGUUGGAGCCUGUGAGUGUGUGGUGUAGUUUAACGCCCUGAUUAAAUCACUAGGAAGCCAUUUCUCUCUCUCCUCCCAGACCAGAUCAGACAAUAUGUUCCCUUAUUUCUACUAAAGCCCCAAUUGGAUUUUGUGUCUUUUGAUACUGAAAGAAUCUUACCACAAAUAAAAUAAUUUGUCAUGUGGCUCCUACAUAUUUAUUCAGUUACAUAAACUAACUAAAUAAAUGAAUAAACUGUCAAUAAUGGUAGUUCCUCAUCUAUGAAUGACUCUUUACAAAGCCUAUCUCGCUUAAUAGUCAUAAUAAAUACUGAAGUAGAUACUAUUUAUACCUUUUUUUUAAAAGGAAUUAAAUAUUUUCAGGGUUAUACAAAGCAUGAGUAUUGUGGGUACAAAUUCAAGCUUUCUAACUCAAAUUUGAAGACUUAUCCCCAGGAUACUUUUACAUCUUUAGCUAGUACCAUGUAUACCUCAAAAGCUUACAUUAUUUUUCACAUGUGUUAGGUUUUGAGGGAUAAUCAAUAAGGAGGGCAUACUUUCAGGCUUCUUAUUUAUAACUGUGAAAUUUAGAAAUUGAUGGAGUAGCAGAUUUCUCGGUAGGAGACAGCUGUUUUAAAAUGCCCCAUGUUUUUAUUAAAGUAAAAAUCUCAAAAAUUGUCUUUUAAAAAGUGGCUCUGGCCAAUCUUAGAUAAAACAUCAUUUACUAGACUUAGGAAUUUCCUGUAGUAAAUUUCAGAUUUACUUUUCGGUCUCACAUCAUCAAAGAGAUCAUAACCCUUUGUGCAAUUAUGGUCUUGAACCAAGGCCUAUUCUCUAGGUCACUGCUGUCAGGACUUCAAGAUAAUUGUUUCCAUUGCAGGAUUUGAUUUUUAAUUCCCCGGAUGUUCUUGACGUGGUUCAGUUCUUCAGGAAAUCAUCACCCUCAUGAGCCCUCCCUGCCACUUGCAGAUAGGGCUUUCUCCCGGUAAGUUCUGGAGUCACGGCAGAGCUCAAUAAGUCUGAUUGGGACCUCCUAUGAUUAU